UUAGCUCAUAUUUGUAUAGAAUGGGAUCGUUUGCCUAUGUUUGCCGCUAGGGGCGCUGUUCCAACUGCAUACAAAAUUGGGUUA
rnacentral:pre_miRNA from 1 species